UACGGGGGGGGCAAGCGUUGUUCGGAAUUACUGGGCGUAAAGGGCGCGUAGGCGGCCCGCUUAGUCGGACGUGAAAUCCCUCGGCUCAACCGAGGAACUGCGUCCGAUACUGGCGGGCUCGAAUCCGGGAGAGGGAUGUGGAAUUCCAGGUGUAGCGGUGAAAUGCGUAGAUAUCUGGAGGAACACCGGUGGCGAAGGCGGCAUUCUGGACUGUAACUGACACUGAGGAGCGAAAGCCAGGGGAGCAAACGGG
rnacentral:rRNA from 1 species